AGGGAGGAUACUCAGCAGAGGGCCCAGAAGAGGUGACCCUAACCGUGACCAUGCUGCAGUGCUGAGUUACGAGAAGAGGAGGACCACUUGUGGGGACACUACAGAGCAGCUCUCCCAUGCCCAGCUGUGAGGGGCAGCCCCAGUGGAGGUUGCUGCACCAUCAGACCAGUGAUGGUACUACUGUACAUUAACAUUUGCAAUACCGAAGGGCCUGAUGCUGCAGUCCUUGGAGUCCCUGCAAGACCCCCUGUGGCCGAAUGUAUCUGUGGAGUCACGCCAAGGCUGAAUGUGGGUAAUAUUGACUCUGUUGUGAGGGCUACCUCAGCAGGAAGCUUAGGUGCUGUCUCCAGUAAUGGAA